GGGGAUUUAGCUCAGUGGUAGAGUGCUUGCCUAGCAAGCAGAAGACCCUGGGUUCAAUCCUCA
rnacentral:tRNA from 1 species